rnacentral:rRNA from 1 species
UUGAACGCUGGCGGCAGGCCUAACACAUGCAAGUCGAACGGUAACAGGAAACAGCUUGCUGUUUCGCUGACGAGUGGCGGACGGGUGAGUAAUGUCUGGGAAACUGCCCGAUGGAGGGGGAUAACUACUGGAAACGGUAGCUAAUACCGCAUAACGUCGCAAGACCAAAGAGGGGGACCUUCGGGCCUCUUGCCAUCGGAUGUGCCCAGAUGGGAUUAGCUAGUAGGUGGGGUAACGGCUCACCUAGGCGACGAUCCCUAGCUGGUCUGAGAGGAUGACCAGCCACACUGGAACUGAGACACGGUCCAGACUCCUACGGGAGGCAGCAGUGGGGAAUAUUGCACAAUGGGCGCAAGCCUGAUGCAGCCAUGCCGCGUGUAUGAAGAAGGCCUUCGGGUUGUAAAGUACUUUCAGCGGGGAGGAAGGGAGUAAAGUUAAUACCUUUGCUCAUUGACGUUACCCGCAGAAGAAGCACCGGCUAACUCCGUGCCAGCAGCCGCGGUAAUACGGAGGGUGCAAGCGUUAAUCGGAAUUACUGGGCGUAAAGCGCACGCAGGCGGUUUGUUAAGUCAGAUGUGAAAUCCCCGGGCUCAACCUGGGAACUGCAUCUGAUACUGGCAAGCUUGAGUCUCGUAGAGGGGGGUAGAAUUCCAGGUGUAGCGGUGAAAUGCGUAGAGAUCUGGAGGAAUACCGGUGGCGAAGGCGGCCCCCUGGACGAAGACUGACGCUCAGGUGCGAAAGGGUGGGGAGCAAACAGGAUUAGAUACCCUGGUAGUCCAUGCCGUAAACGAUGAGUGCUAGGUGUUGGAGGGUUUCCGCCCUUCAGUGCCGGAGCUAACGCAUUAAGCACUCCGCCUGGGGAGUACGACCGCAAGGUUGAAACUCAAAGGAAUUGACGGGGGCCCGCACAAGCGGUGGAGCAUGUGGUUUAAUUCGAAGCUACGCGAAGAACCUUACCAGGUCUUGACAUCUUGCGCCAACCCUAGAGAUAGGGCGUUUCCUUCGGGAACGCAAUGACAGGUGGUGCAUGGUCGUCGUCAGCUCGUGUCGUGAGAUGUUGGGUUAAGUCCCGCAACGAGCGCAACCCUUAUUGUUAGUUGCUACCAUUUAGUUGAGCACUCUAGCGAGACUGCCCGGGUUAACCGGGAGGAAGGUGGGGAUGACGUCAAAUCAUCAUGCCCCUUAUGAUUUGGGCUACACACGUGCUACAAUGGACAAUACAAAAAGCAGCGAAACCGCGAGGUCAAGCAAAUCCCAUAAAGUUGUUCUCAGUUCGGAUUGUAGUCUGCAACUCGACUAUAUGAAGCUGGAAUCGCUAGUAAUCGUAGAUCAGCAUGCUACGGUGAAUACGUUCCCGGGUCUUGUACACACCGCCCGUCACACCACGAGAGUUUGUAACACCCGAAGCCGGUGGAGUAACCAUUUGGAGCUAGCCGUCGAAGGUGGGACAAAUGAUUGGGGUG